rnacentral:rRNA from 1 species
AGCGAACGCUGGCGGCAGGCCUAACACAUGCAAGUCGAACGCCCCUUCGGGGGAGUGGCGGACGGGUGAGUAACGCGUGGGAAUGUGCCCUUUGGUACGGAACAACUGAGGGAAACUUCA